AGAUGUAAGAGUGGAGCAGAAAGUAUCAGUAGCACUGUUAGCAUCCAAAGAUGCAAACAGUUUAGGGGAAGGAAGUGAAGAUGAAACCAUUGCAGAUAGCCGGGAGGGUGAAAGUGUGCGUAGGUUACGUCGAAAGAUGACAUGUGGAGGGGUGGUGACCAUAGACCUGCAUUAUACGAGUCACAGACAAGAACAGUUUGACCUAAAAAUAUCAAAAUGGAAACAAAGACACCUACAUCUUGGAUGCCCUUGAGUGUGGGUAGAUGCCAAAUCCUGCUGGAAAAUGAAAUCAGCAUCUUCAAAAAGCUGGUCAGCAGAAGGAAGCAUCAGGUGCUCCAAAAUGUUAUGGUAAACGGGUGCAGUGACUUUACUUUUCACAAUGGAUAAUCAGCAGAUGACAUUGAAACCCAAAUCAUCACAGACUGUGGGAACUUACUCUGGACAUCAAGCAACUUGGGCUAUAGCUUCUCGACCCUUCCUCCAGACCCCAAGACCCUAGUUUCUAAAUGAAAUACAAAACUUGCUUGUAUCUUAACAUCUUAAAAGAGGACUUUGGACCAUAGUCCAGUUUUUCUUCUCCUUAGCCCAGGUAAGACGCCUCUGAUGUUGUCUGUGGUUCAGGAGUGGCUUAACAAUAAGACUACGACAACUGCAGGCAAAUUCCUUGACACGUCUGUAUGCCUUGACCACAGCCUCAGUCCAUUCCUUGUGAAGUUCACUCAAAUUCGUAAAUUGACUUUGCUUCACAAUCCUCAUAAGGCGGUGGUUCUCUAGGUUGGUUGUGCAUCUUCUUCUUCCACAUUUUGUCCUUCCACUCAACUUUCUGUUAACAUGCUCGGAUACAGCACUCUGUGAACAGCCAGUUUCUUUGGCACUGAAUGUUUGUGGCUUACCCUCCUUGUGAUGGGUGUCAAUGAUUGUCUUCGGGACAACUGUCAGAUCAGCAGUCUUCCCCAUGAUUGUGUAGCCUAGUCAACCAAACUGAGAGACCAUUUUGAAGGCUCAGGAAACCUUUGCAGGUGUUUUGAGUUGAUUCGCUGAUUGGUAUGUCUCCAUAUUCUAAUUUGUUGAGAUUUACAAUUGGUGGGUUUUUUAUUAAAUGUAAGCCAAAAUCAUGUUUACCACUAGGACUUUAUCAGCAACAGAGUGAAAAAUCAUCCCACCUGACCGGAAGUCUGAGGCUUCAUGUACAGGUGCUGGUCAUAUAAUUAGAAUAUCAUCAAAAAGUAGAUUUCACUAAUUCCAUUCAAGUCAAACUUGUAUAUUAUAUUCAUUACUC